GGGGAAUUUUGGACAAUGGGCGCAAGCCUGAUCCAGCCAUGCCGCGUGCAGGAUGAAGGCCUUCGGGUUGUAAACUGCUUUUGUACGGAACGAAAAGACUCUUUCUAAUAAAGAGGGUCCAUGACGGUACCGUAAGAAUAAGCACCGGCUAACUACGUGCCAGCAGACGCGGUAAUACGUAGGGUGCGAGCGUUAAUCGGAAUUACUGGGCGUAAAGCGUGCGCAGGCGGUGAUGUAAGACAGAUGUGAAAUCCCCGGGCUCAACCUGGGAACUGCAUUUGUGACUGCAUCGCUGGAGUGCGGCAGAGGGGGAUGGAAUUCCGCGUGUAGCAGUGAAGUGCGUAGAUAUGCGGAGGAACACCGAUGGCGAAGGCAAUCCCCUGGGCCUGCACUGACGCUCAUGCACGAAAGCGUGGGGAGCAACC
rnacentral:rRNA from 1 species